UACGUAGGGCGCAAGCGUUAUCCGGAAUUACUGGGCGUAAAGGGCGCGUAGGCGGCCCGCUAAGUCGAACGUGAAAUCCCCAGGCUUAACCUGGGAACUGCGUCCGAUACUGGCAGGCUUGAAUCCGGGAGAGGGAUGUGGAAUUCCAGGUGUAGCGGUGAAAUGCGUAGAUAUCUGGAGGAACACCGGUGGCGAAGGCGGCAUCCUGGACCGGUAUUGACGCUGAGGCGCGAAAGCUAGGGGAGCAAACGGGG
rnacentral:rRNA from 1 species